rnacentral:rRNA from 1 species
AGAGUUUGAUCCUGGCUCAGGACGAACGCUGGCGGCGCGCCUAACACAUGCAAGUCGAACGAGCGAGAGAGGGCUUGCUUUCUCGAGCGAGUGGCGAACGGGUGAGUAACGCGUGAGGAACCUGCCUCAAAGAGGGGGACAACAGUUGGAAACGACUGCUAAUACCGCAUAAGCCCACGGGUCGGCAUCGACCAGAGGGAAAAGGAGCAAUCCGCUUUGAGAUGGCCUCGCGUCCGAUUAGCUAGUUGGUGAGGUAACGGCCCACCAAGGCGACGAUCGGUAGCCGGACUGAGAGGUUGAACGGCCACAUUGGGACUGAGACACGGCCCAGACUCCUACGGGAGGCAGCAGUGGGGAAUAUUGCACAAUGGGGGAAACCCUGAUGCAGCGACGCCGCGUGGAGGAAGAAGGUCUUCGGAUUGUAAACUCCUGUUGUUGAGGAAGAUAAUGACGGUACUCAACAAGGAAGUGACGGCUAACUACGUGCCAGCAGCCGCGGUAAAACGUAGGUCACAAGCGUUGUCCGGAAUUACUGGGUGUAAAGGGAGCGCAGGCGGGAAGACAAGUUGGAAGUGAAAUCCAUGGGCUUAACCCAUGAACUGCUUUCAAAACUGUUUUUCUUGGGUAGUGCAGAGGUAGGCGGAAUUCCCGGUGUAGCGGUGGAAUGCGUAGAUAUCGGGAGGAACACCAGUGGCGAAGGCGGCCUACUGGGCACCAACUGACGCUGAGGCUCGAAAGUGUGGGUAGCAAACAGGAUUAGAUACCCUGGUAGUCCACACCGUAAACGAUGAUUACUAGGUGUUGGAGGAUUGACCCCUUCAGUGCCGCAGUUAACACAAUAAGUAAUCCACCUGGGGAGUACGACCGCAAGGUUGAAACUCAAAGGAAUUGACGGGGGCCCGCACAAGCAGUGGAGUAUGUGGUUUAAUUCGACGCAACGCGAAGAACCUUACCAAGUCUUGACACCCUGUGACAGACGUAGAAAUACGUUCUUCCUUCGGGACACAGAGACAGGUGGUGCAUGGUUGUCGUCAGCUCGUGUCGUGAGAUGUUGGGUUAAGUCCCGCAACGAGCGCAACCCUUAUGGUCAGUUACUACGCAAGAGGACUCUGGCCAGACUGCCGUUGACAAAACGGAGGAAGGUGGGGAUGACGUCAAAUCAUCAUGCCCUUUAUGACUUGGGCUACACACGUACUACAAUGGCGUUAAACAAAGAGAAGCAAGACCGCGAGGUGGAGCAAAACUCAGAAACGACGUCCCAGUUCGGACUGCAGGCUGCAACUCGCCUGCACGAAGUCGGAAUUGCUAGUAAUCGUGGAUCAGCAUGCCACGGUGAAUACGUUCCCGGGCCUUGUACACACC